GGAGUAUCUGUUCACAUCUUACCGGGCAGCAUUAGAUUGAAGUUGACCUUCUAAUACUGUCAGGUAAAGAUGUCGUCAGGAUUCC
rnacentral:pre_miRNA from 1 species